GGAAUAUUGCACAAUGGGCGCAAGCCUGAUGCAGCCAUGCCGCGUGUAUGAAGAAGGCCUUCGGGUUGUAAAGUACUUUCAGCGGGGAGGAAGGCGUUGUGGUUAAUAACCACAGCGAUUGACGUUACCCGCAGAAGAAGCACCGGCUAACUCCGUGCCAGCAGCCGCGGUAAUACGGAGGGUGCAAGCGUUAAUCGGAAUUACUGGGCGUAAAGCGCACGCAGGCGGUUGAUUAAGUCAGAUGUGAAAUCCCCCGGGCUCAACCUGGGAACUGCAUUUGAAACUGGUCAGCUUGAGUCUCGUAGAGGGGGGUAGAAUUCCAGGUGUAGCGGUGAAAUGCGUAGAGAUCUGGAGGAAUACCGGUGGCGAAGGCGGCCCCCUGGACGAAGACUGACGCUCAGGUGCGAAAGCGUGGGGAGCA
rnacentral:rRNA from 1 species